CGUAGGGGGCAAGCGUUGUCCGGAUUUAUUGGGCGUAAAGAGCUCGUAGGUGGUUCGGUAAGUCGGAUGUGAAAUCUCCAGGCUCAACCUGGAGGGGUCAUUCGAUACUGCCGUGACUAGAGUUCGGUAGGGGAGUGUGGAAUUCCUGGUGGAGCGGUGAAAUGCGCAGAUAUCAGGAGGAACACCCGUAGCGAAGGCGGCACUCUGGGCCGAUACUGACACUGAGGAGCGAAAGCGUGGGGAGCGAACAGGAUUAGAUACCCUGGUAGUCCACGCCGUAAACGUUGGGCACUAGGUGUGGGACUCUAUCGACGGGUUCCGUGCCGUAGCUAACGCAUUAAGUGCCCCGCCUGGGGAGUACGGCCGCAAGGCUAA
rnacentral:rRNA from 1 species